GAUGAACGCUGGCGGCGUGCCUAAUACAUGCAAGUCGAGCGAACAGACGAGGAGCUUGCUCCUCUGACGUUAGCGGCGGACGGGUGAGUAACACGUGGAUAACCUACCUAUAAGACUGGGAUAACUUCGGGAAACCGGAGCUAAUACCGGAUAAUAUAUUGAACCGCAUGGUUCAAUAGUGAAAGACGGUUUUGCUGUCACUUAUAGAUGGAUCCGCGCCGCAUUAGCUAGUUGGUAAGGUAACAGCUUACCAAGGCAACGAUGCGUAGCCGACCUGAGAGAGUGAUCGGCCACACUGGAGCUGAGACACGGUCCAGACUCCUACGGGAGGCAGCAGUAGGGAAUCUUCCGCAAUGGGCGAGAGCCUGACGGAGCAACGCCGCGUGAGUGAUGAAGGUCUUCGGAUCGUAAAACUCUGUUAUUAGGGAAGAACAAAUGUGUAAGUAACUAUGCACGUCUUGACGGUACCUAAUCAGAAAGCCACGGCUAACUACGUG
rnacentral:rRNA from 1 species